GAUGAACGCUGGCGGCGUGCCUAAUACAUGCAAGUCGAGCGAACAGACGAGGAUCUUGCUCCUCUGACGUUAGCGGCGGACGGGUGAGUAACACGUGGAUAACCUACCUAUAAGACUGGGAUAACUUCGGGAGACCGGAGCUAAUACCGGAUAAUAUAUUGAACCGCAUGGUUCAAUAGUGAAAGACGGUUUUGCUGUCACUUAUACAUGGAUCCGCGCCGCAUUAGCUAGUUGGUAAGGUAACGGCUUACCAAGGCAACGAUGCGUAGCCGACCUGAGAGGGUGAUCGGCCACACUGGAACUGAGACACGGUCCAGACUCCUACGGGAGGCAGCAGUAGGGAAUCUUCCGCAAUGGGCGAAAGCCUGACGGAGCAACGCCGCGUGAGUGAUGAAGGUCUUCGGAUCGUAAAACUCUGUUAUUAGGGAAGAACAAAUGUGUAAGUAACUAUGCACGUCUUGACGGUACCUAAUCAGAAAGCCACGGCUAACUACGUG
rnacentral:rRNA from 1 species